rnacentral:rRNA from 1 species
GACGAACGCUGGCGGCGUGCUUAACACAUGCAAGUCGAACGGAAAGGCCCUGCUUUUGUGGGGUGCUCGAGUGGCGAACGGGUGAGUAACACGUGAGUAACCUGCCCUUGACUUUGGGAUAACUUCAGGAAACUGGGGCUAAUACCGGAUAGGAGCUCCUGCUGCAUGGUGGGGGUUGGAAAGUUUCGGCGGUUGGGGAUGGACUCGCGGCUUAUCAGCUUGUUGGUGGGGUAGUGGCUUACCAAGGCUUUGACGGGUAGCCGGCCUGAGAGGGUGACCGGCGACAUCGGGGGUAAGCAACGGCCCAGACUCCUACGGGAGGCAGGAGUGGGGAAUAUAGGAAAAUGGGGGGAAGCCUGAUGCACCCAUGACGGGUGAGUGAUGAAGGCAUUAGGGUUGUAAUGCUCUUUUAUCCGGGACGAUAAUGACGGUACCGGAGGAAUAAGCCCCGGCUAACUUCGUG